CCUACGGGUGGCAGCAGUGGGGAAUAUUGGGCAAUGGGCGCAAGCCUGACCCAGCAACGCCGCGUGAAGGAAGAAGGCUUUCGGGUUGUACACUUCUUUUAAGAGGGAAGCGCAGACGACGGUACCUCUUGAAUAAGCCACGGCUAACUCCGUGCCAGCAGCCGCGGUAAUACGUAGGUGGCAAGCGUUGUCCGGAUUUCCUGGGUGUGAAGGUCGUCAAGCCGGGAAUACAAGUCAGAUGUUAAAUCCCGCGGCUCAACCGCGGAACUGCAUUUGAAACGGGUUUUAUUGAGUACCGGAGAGGUCAUCGGAAUUCCUGGUGUAGCGGGGAAAUGCGGAGAUAUAAGGAAGAACACCAGUGGCGAAGGCGGAUGACUGGACGGCAACUGACGGUGAGGCGCGAAAGCGUGGGGAGCAAACAGGAUUAGAUACCCCAGUAGUC
rnacentral:rRNA from 1 species